rnacentral:rRNA from 1 species
CACGUAGGGGGCGAGCGUUGUCCGGAUUCAUUGGGCGUAAAGAGCGUGUAGGCGGCCAGGUAGGUCGGUUGUGAAAACUGGAGGCUCAACCUUCAGAGGUCGACCGAAACCAUCUGGCUAGAGUCCGGGAGAGGAGAGUGGAAUUCCUGGUGUAGCGGUGAAAUGCGCAGAUAUCAGGAAGAACACCCGUGGCGAAAGCGGCUCUCUGGAACGGUACUGACGCUGAGACGCGAAAGCGUGGGGAGCGAACAGG